rnacentral:sRNA from 1 species
CAUCGACCUCCUUAUCGGCGACAAUUGCGGCAAUAUCCAUUCAAUUCUAUACCGAUUAUAUCCAUUCAACUCUAUACCAAUUAUAUCCAUUCAAUUCUAUAUUGAUUAUCUGUUCGAUUCUAUAUUGGUUUUACAUCUAUAUACAACGACCAAGAUGUCAGCAGAAAAUUCCUCAUCAAAAACAUCACUUUUCUUGGAUUCCUCUAGAAAAUGGAACCUAUGGUACAACAUGAUACUAGAUCUUGCCACUGAGCUCCAAGUACUGGAUCUUAUUAGUGAUGAAAGUCCCAAUAGGAUGAGUGAAAUACCUGCAUCUAUUCCUCCAGAAUUCCCUACUGAGCACACCAUGGAAGCA